rnacentral:rRNA from 1 species
CGAAAUGCGAUACGUAAUGUGAAUUGCAGAAUUCCGUGAAUCAUUGAAUCUUUGAACGCACCUUGCG